rnacentral:rRNA from 1 species
GAGUUUGAUUCAUGGCUCAGGAUGAACGCUAGCUACAGGCUUAACACAUGCAAGUCGAGGGGAAACGGACAUCGAAAGCUUGCUUUUGAUGGGCGUCGACCGGCGCACGGGUGAGUAACGCGUAUCCAACCUGCCCACCACUUGGGGAUAACCUUGCGAAAGUAAGACUAAUACCCAAUGACGUCUCUAGAAGACAUCUGAAGGAGAUUAAAGAUUUAUCGGUGAUGGAUGGGGAUGCGUCUGAUUAGCUUGUUGGCGGGGUAACGGCCCGACCAAGGCGACGAUCAGUAGGGGUUCUGGAGAGGAAGGUCCCCCACAUUGGAACUGAGACACGGUCCAAACUCCUACGGGAGGCA